rnacentral:tRNA from 1 species
GCCCCUGUGGCCAAGUUGGUAAGGCAGCGGACUUUUAAUCCGACGAUCGCCGGUUCGAGUCCGGCCGGGGGCA